UCAGCCCCGCCGCCGCCUCCCCUCACAGAUCCCCUAGCCGCGCCGCCGCCUCGCAGAGCCCCCAGCCCCGCCGCCAGGAGUUCAGCGCGGGGAACCGCACGAGUGCCGGCUGCCGCAUCGAGACGACCGCUGAUUCGCCGCCUCCUCUCCAGCUCCGGCUCGUCGCCGAGCUCCGGCAGGAGGUGCACGGACCACGGCCGCCGCAACGCCGAGCUCUGCCGCCAUGGAUAUGGCGGACGACAUCGGCCUCGCCACCCUCCACCCGCACCUCGAUGCCUCCUCCAUGGCCGCCGCGUUCCCCAAACCCAAGGGCGGUGCCGCCUCUUGCCUUGGACACGCGCCUCGCGGAUCUCUGCCAGGUCAGAUCUUCCUGCGCCACUGCUGAAAUCAUUUCGGCGUUCCGGUGGGAAUUCGCUGUCUGACGGUUGGUGGUUUGAUGCACGAACUGGGAGUGGACAAGGGCGUCGCCAGCGAGGCCGCGGCGUUGCUGGAGGAGGGGAAGGGCGUUCUUCUCACACCGUCUUCGUUUGGGAGCAAAUCGCCCCAGGAUGUGGAGAGGCUGUGCUUCGCUUUUGUGUUGUACUGCGCAGCUAGGCUGAAGGGGAUGAAGGAGGGGAGCUCCAGGGUUAGGCUGUGGAAGAUCUUGGAGGGUUGUAACCUCAAUUACGAUGACUUUUUCAAGGAAUCACAGCAGUUUCGUUCCAAGAUUGAUCAAAUUUUACGGAGCCGGUAUGGAUCUGAUUGGGAAGAUCAGCUAGAGCUGAAACAGUUGCAGAGUUUGGUAAAUCUGUUGGCAGAUGCAAGCAGGAUGUGAUUUCUUUUGGUAAGGGUGAUUAAGCAUGAGUUGCAGCACCGCCUGAAGGUUUGCACACGGUUUGCACACGCCAUGUUUGUUGUAAUGCUCACUAAAGGUGUGAGAACCAGGAUGCAAACUCUGUAUGGCGGGUUAGUUUCCCUUCCAAUAUUUGCCAGAAAAAACUGUUCUGGUCCAAUUGCAACCUGUAUACCAAGCUUGAAGAAAUUAAGAAACCAAGGAAAUAUGUUCACACAGUUGGAUGCCAAGUGUCAUGUGUCCCAUCAUUUGAAAUAAGACUUGUUUACGCAGCCCAAGUUUUCUUCCUCGCAUGCGCAAUGAGCGCGCAGGCCGUGAGCGCCACCUCGCUAUCGUGGAUACAUCCAGAGGGCUCAGCAUGUACAACAGUUGCACAAUCACUCUCAAAAUUAACUGGUGUGUGAAACUAGGAGCAGAAAGACCAAUGCCUUCUUUCAGAGUACGAAGUUCAGCUUUAUCAGCGUUCACGCAAUUUCCAAAGGUGUGGGCAGCCAAGAAGAUUAUGCCGUAGCCUGAAUUUUUAGCCACUACACCAACACUGAUGAGGCUGGUUUCCCCAGUUGCUGCAGAAAAGUAGGAUGAGUAAGAGCUCCGAUACUGAACAUAGAUUGUAAGUCUGCCUACAGUUUUAGUGUGCUUUUAUGACCCUCAGAUAGUUGUAGGAAACUGUAAAGUUGUGUCUUAAAUUCCAGACUAUCUUUUAGAUGCAUUCUGAUAGUGACUGCUAUUUCAUGUUUCAUACAAAAAAGUGAUUGCUAUUUUAUAUUUAGGUUCCUGGAACUUCCUCAGUUCCUAUAAUGAUUACUAUUUCACAUGAAACCCAAUAUCGUUAUGAAGUUGUUCCUGGUAGACUCUGGUAUGGUAUCAAUCGUUCUUUAGUGGUAAAUUCUUGCAUACCAUUUCAAAAUACAAAAAAGCUCACCAAUUACGUUCAUAAUCUACAGACAAACCCAAUGUUGACAACCUGCAGGGAAAACAUUGCAAAUUAAAUUGUUUUUACAGAGGUUAACAACCCCCAUAAUUGGAGGCAUCACUCGUGCAAGGAUUUCAGGAGAAGGACAUAGACCAAUAGAAACACCUACAGAUGCCCUCACUGCCCACGUAUAGAAGGAAGACCAACAUAAUCUUAUAACAGAGGAACUAUUAAUAGAGUUAUCUCUUUGUCUUUGUUUGAAACUAACUAAUACCACUGCUGGCACCAAGGAAUUCUGUACCAACCACUACAUGGCCAAGAAUAAGGGCAUGGCAGCGAUGCGCGUGGGUCGUGAGCCUGGUCUCGCUCGGAGUGUAGGAGUUCCAGUAGGACUUGCUUCGGGCUCUUGGCCGCGUGCACAGGCUGCGGGAGGUGCACCAGGCGGCCGGGAUUGUGACCGGGUGAGAGGUGCUUCAGAACUGGAGCAGAGUAUGCUCCAAGUGUUUUACUGUUCCUGAUAUUUACGUUCAGUAUUUUAGCAAGUGCUCUUCCUCAUGUCGAAGCUACAUCCUUUUUCUUAUUUUUCUGAAUACCUCUCUUCUUCCUCAGAACAAGUUCACCAGUCUGAUUCUUUUCUAUGAAAUUAACAUAAAAAAUGAUCGCAUAUGCUGCGACAAUGCACUGCCUAUGUAGAUGAUUAUUUUAGGUUCCUUUCUUUCUUUUGUUGCUCUUGACAAAAUCAACAACCGUUAGUUGCUAUAAUAUAUUUUCCUAAAAUUUCCCUGGUUGUAUAUAAAUGUUAGAUCUCUGUAAUUUAUUGUGGUUCGCUACCUUUUGUAAAUCCUAAGAAAAAUUAUUACCAUUUUCAUGUACACACGAUUUACACGGGGUCGUGCGCCAAGGCGCACAUCAAAAUCUAG